rnacentral:rRNA from 1 species
AAUCAACGCUGGCGGCGUGCCUAACACAUGCAAGUCGAACGCGGUCAUCCCGCAAGGGAUGACUGAGUGGCGAACGGGUGAGUAACGCGUGGGUGACCUACCUUCGAAUGGGGGAUAACGUCCCGAAAGGGACGCUAAUACCGCAUAACAUCCCGCCCUUGAACGGGUGGAGAUCAAAGCCGGGGAUCGCAAGACCUGGCGUUUGAAGAGGGGCCCGCGUCUGAUUAGCUAGUUGGUGGGGUAAUGGCCCACCAAGGCGACGAUCAGUAUCCGGCCUGAGAGGGCGGACGGGCACACGGGGACUGGGACACGGCCCAGAUGCCGACGGGGGGCAGCAGGGGGGAGUAUUGGACGAGGGGGGGGACCCUGAUCCAGCCAUGCCGCGUGUGUGAAGAAGGCCUUAUGGUUGUAAAGCACUUUAAGCGAGGAGGAGGCUCUUUUGGUUAAUACCCAAGAUGAGUGGACGUUACUCGCAGAAUAAGCACCGGCUAACUCUGUGCCAGCAGCCGCCGUAA